UCUUAUCCCUGAGUACAUGCUAGCAUUCACUCUGCUAACCGUCUUCCAGCGUUAUAUCCUCACGCGAUGUAGAAAUUAGCCAUAUAUCAUUCCUCCUGCUCAGUGACUUAGAUUCAGGGACAGCUUUGAGUCAGAUUGAAGUGGUGAUCUUCUAUACUCUAGAAGGCUCCAUUUCAUUGCAAUGGACUUCUUUUGUUUUUAUUAUUUCUUUGGUUUGAUUUUGGCUAUGGUCGGGGGCAUG
rnacentral:lncRNA from 1 species